ACCGUGAGUAUGCAAGUACGGUGUGGUUUACACCGUGAAUGUGCAAGCGGUGUGUAGGUUGCAACGUGUGCAUGUAAGGAAGGUGUAGUUUGCACUGUGUGUGCACAAGUGGGGUGUAAACCACUGUGAGUGUGCAAGUGGGGUGUAGUUUACACUGUAAGUGUGCAAGCGGGGUGUGGUUUACACUGUGAAUGUGCACGCGGGGUGUAGGUUGCAGUGUGUGUGUGUAAGGAAGGUGUAGUUUGCACUGUGUGUGCGCGAGUGGGGUGUAAACUGCACUGUGUGCAAGUGGGGUGUGGUUUACACUGUGAGUAUGCAAGCGGGGUGGAGUUUGCACUGUGUGUGUGUGUAAGGAAGGUGUAGUUUGCACUGUGUGUGCGCAAGUGGUGUGUAAACCACUGUGAGUGUGCAAGUGGGGUGUAGUUUACACCGUGAGAGUGCAAGCAGGGUGUAGGUUGCACUGUGUGUGUGUGUAAGGAAGAUGUAGUUUACACUGUGUGGGUGCGUGAGGUGUAAACAGCACUGUGAGUGUGCAAGCGGGGUGUAGGUCACACUGCACAUGUGUAAGUAGUGUGUAGGUUGCACUGAGUGUGCAAAUGAGGUGUAGUUUGCCGAGUACAUGUGUAAACAGCUGUAACUCGCUCCUUGUGUGUGCAAAGGGGUGUAGCUCGUGCUAUGCGCGUGUAAGCAGGGUGUAGUUUGCACUGCGUGAGGUGAACGGGGUGUAGCUCGUGCGCUGUGUGUGCAAACGGGUGUAACUAGCACUGUGAGGGUGUAAGCAGGGUGUAGGUUUGCACUGUGGGUGUACAAGCGGGCUGUAGGUUGCGUCGUGGGUGUAACCAUGGUAUAGGUUGCACCACAGGUGUGCAAGUGGGGUGUAGUUUGCACUGUGUGUGUGCAAGUGGGGUGUAGGUUGCACUCAGUGUGUAACCAUGGUGUAGGCUGUGCUGUGGGUGUGCCAGCGAAUUGUAGGUUGCACCAUGUGUGUAACCGUGGUGUAAGUCAUGCUGUGGGUGUGCAAGCAGGGUGUAGCUUGUGACAUGUGUGUAACCAUGGUGUAGGUUGCGCCGUGAGUGUGCAAGUGGGGUGUAGGUUGCUCUGCGGGUGUGCAAGCGGGGUGUAGGUUGCACCGUGUGUGUAACCAUGGUGUAGGUUGUGCUGCGAGUGUGCAAGCGGGGUGUAGGUUGCCCCGCACACGUAUAGAAGUGGACACCGUGUGUGCAUCUUCCACUGUGCGUGUGUAAGGGAGGUUUAAGUUGCACCAUGUGUGUAACUCCAGUGUAGGUUGCGCCGCGAGUGCGCAAGUGGGAUGUAGGUUGCACCAUGUGUGUAACCAUGGUGUAGGUUGCCCUGUGGGUGUGCGAGCAAGGUGUAGGUUGCACCGUGUGUGUAACCAUGGUGUAGGUUGCCCUGCAGGUGUGCAAGCAGGGUGUAGGUUGUGCCCUGUGUGUAACCACGGUGUACGUUGCCCUGUUUGUGUGCGAGCAAUGUGUAGGUUGCGCUGUGUGUGUAACCAGAGUGUAGGUUGCACCAUUGGUGUGCAAGCAGGGUGUAGGUUGCACCGUGUGCGUAACUGUGUUGUAGGUUGCGCCACGAGUGUGCAAGCGGGGUGUAGGUUGCGCUGUGUGUAACUGUGGUGUAGCUUGCGCCAUGAGUAUGCAACAGGGGUGUAGGUUGCACCGUGUGUGUAACUGUGGUGUAGGUUGUGCCAUGAGUGUGCAAGCAGGGUGUAGGUUGCACUGUGUGUGUAACCCCGGUGUAGGUUGCCCCGUGGGUGUGCAAGCGGGGUGUAGGUUGCACCGGCACAUGUAGGAGAGGAUUUACAAGGACAUGCAGGUGCCCACGUGCGCUCACGAGGGGGGUGUGUGUGUGUAAUUCUCUAGGGGAUCAGCGUGCGUGUGUGUGUGCACGUGCACGUGCACGCGUGCACGAGGGUGCUCUAUAGGGGAUGACGCGUUUAUGGGGGUGUGUGCUACAGGGGCUGCGGGGAGUAAUCUAUAGGGGAUGUACUCUGUGGAGUAAAGGGUGUGUAAUCUAUAGGGGAUGUACUCUGUGGAGUAAGGGGGGUGUAAUCUAUAGGGGAUGUACUCUAUAGAGUAAGGAGUGUGUAAUCUAUAGGGGAUGUACUCUAUGGAGUAAGGAGGGUGUAAUCUAUAGGGGAUGUACUCUAUGGAGUAAGGGGUGUGUAAUCUAUAGGGGAUGUACUCUAUGGAGUAAGAGGUGUGUAAUCUAUAGGGGAUGUAUAUGGAGUAA